UCCCUGGUGGCUCAGACGGUAAAGCAUCUAUCUGCAAUGCAGGAAACCCGGGUUUGAUCCCUGGGUUGGGAA
rfam:TPA: Bos taurus chromosome 8, whole genome shotgun sequence.